rnacentral:ncRNA from 1 species
CGGCUUCACUACGGGCGCUGAAUCGAACUGAGAACUUCCGCGGCAUCCACCCUUUGCUUUCCCCGCGGCUAAGCCAACUAGCUAGCUUGGCAAAGAGGAUGUCGCGGACUCCGGUAAUGAUGAAGCUGAGAAGUACCGUUUAAACUCGAUCAAGAUAAUACUUGCGUGAGGAAUGUGCUGCCGCUGAUUA